rfam:Toxocara canis scaffold2082, whole genome shotgun sequence.
GACUCCGUGGCGCAACGGUAAGGCGUCUGGCUCCAGAUCAGAAGGUUGCGUGUUCAAAUCACGUCGGGGUCA